GGACGACCUGACGCGCGCCGUCGUCUCGCCUCCCGCCGGCAACCUCGGAAGCAGCGGCAGCUUCAAGGCCUGCAGCGUAGCGGGCUCCUGGGUGUGCCUGCUGCCCCUGUCGCGCAGCGACUCAGAGAACGUCUAAGAGGCCAUCCAGGAGGUACGCGGCCCGCCGCGGUAGGAGAUCGUGAAGCAGGUACGACCCCGGGCGCGGAGGCGGGGAGGCUCGCUGAGGACAGCGCCCGCAGGGAGCCUGGGCUCGAGGAGACCCACUCCGCUCAGCGUCGGGCAUGACGCCCACCUCUGUCGGAAGACUUCGGAUGAGCUCCCUCUCCCCAGCCGCGAAACAGUGCAGGCCCCCAUCCCUCAUCUGCAAUUUCCAGGCUCCAAAGCUCCCUGGAAGCCCGAAAGAUUUUUCGUAAUCAAAUUGGUGGCAAAAUUGCGCUUGAACUGAUAUGAGGCUGUUGAUGGUCUUUAUUUAUCGCACUUGUGUGAAUAUUCAUGUUUUGCUGCAGAAAUGCAAAUAAGCUCGAUGGCCGGCUGCUGCCCCAAGCCCUGCUGGGAGGUUAUGUAACCUACAGCAGGGUCUCGGUUUGUUCUUUAGCACAAAGGGAGGGGAUGGACAGAUGACCUCUGAACCUUGGGAGCCUCUGAUUUAUUU
rnacentral:lncRNA from 1 species